CCCAGUGGCAACGACGCCCAGUAAGCAGAGAAAUUUUGGGAAUGAAUGCGUGCUAGAAGCAGGGGCCCAGUACAAGGCGAGCAAUGGUAAGGGGGCAGGUAUCGAUAACACCCGGCAAUCCAGGAGACCAAUCCCCGCGAGUACUGACCUCGGCGAGCUCCUGGCCACAAACGCCAGCUACAAUAACACGCAUGGGACCCAUGCUUAGUAUUCGCUGGCAUGCAAAUCCUGUCACCGAUUCGGGCCCACCCGCGAAGCCAGUCGCAGCAGCUGUUCAGAUCCUGCAUGUGACUUGACUUAGUGGUGUGGUGGCAUGCAUUUCAUUAGCUGCAUGAUGGCCUCCGUCGUGUGUGUAUCCAGACUUUCCGUUUUCUUUUCUCCUGGUUUUACUCAUCUGACCAUUGUUUUACCAUACAUAUAUAGAUAAAUACAAGACAAUUGCAGUACCCAUUGGGCGUGAUGCGUCAAGACUGUGGUUGCGAAUGGACUCCUGUGCUGGGAAGUAAUUCCUUAUUUCAUAAUGCGAGAGUGGAUGUCGGAGCCGGCGAGCCAAUGAGGCAUCGGGUUUGAGCAAAGUGUUCGAAGGCGAGUGAAAAAUCUGAUGUUGGGUAGUUGAGCUGUACAAGUGAGCGACUAAUAUCUCUCUGUGAUGGUAUGUAUCGUUGGCGAUGUCUUUCUACUAGGUCACAAAUCUUGUAGGCUCUCGGCGAGAUUUUCGUUCCAGCGACUCCGUUGGCCAUGAGUCUUGAUCUCAUGGUGAUUGACCUCCGCAGCAAAUUAGGCUGAAGAUGCCGCAUGCGUCUUUGCGAACGAACGCACUGGGUUUCGGUGAAAUGGAUGCUUUCUUUACCUCUUGGGAAUUUUACAGGAAGAUGACACUGCUCUUUCGGCAUGUUGACUUAAACUGCCGACGGCCCGUGUUGGAGCAUUCUUUGUGGCAGAAGCAGCGAGGAGCAAGCACGUUUAAACGAACUCUCUUCAUAUGUUGAGAAGCCUUAAAAUAUCCAGUAUUCGUGUGAUUGGAAUCUCUACGUUGUUGCUCAAGAGUUUACUGCGAACACAUGUUGUAUAUGGUAGUGAUUAAGUGUUUUGGCCCAUGCGCCAUCCUGCUUGCCGCCUCCGAAAAGAGAAGUACGUGACAUACUCGGAGCAAGAUCAGCUCUCCAUGACUGAACAUCAGCGGAGCCAAGACAUGUUUACAGAUGCUUAUGCAUGUUGCUUCAGGGAUAAAGCACACAUCCUUCUGGUUUCAAACCCUGACUGGUUACAUAAUCUUGCACAGGGGAUGGAAAAUUUCUUCCUCCAACAUCAAACACCCACUACUAUCACGAGAAUUUUGAAGAACCUAUAGUGUGCAAGUUGUUCAAUGUUCAUUUCUCGAAUUCUCUAGCCUUUUCACAUGCACUCGCAACUGUAGAUUUUGGAACUUUCAAACUGCAAUGCCUGGUUCUAACGUCGGUACUGUGAUGAUGUAGCGUAUGAGUAAAGUAAAAUCGAAGAGAAGUCCCCACAUCAGUCACACAUGAAGCUCUCAGAUCGAUACUAUGGUGAAAUGCCAAAAUCCCAAAAUGCUGAAAGCUCUGAGAAUUGCAACAGGAAGUUUGCUCGUUGCCAGCCCGAUGACUUGUCUAUUCUGGGUCUCUGCCCUACAGCACAUUCUAGAAGAACCAUUCAAGAAAAAGUUGCAUCGACCAAAGAUGCACUUCUAUGCAAAUAUCUUCCAUCUCCGACGUCGUCAGACAGCAUUUCAUUGAUUUGCUUCCCGAGCCCAAGGGACCCAGUUGAGUGGCGCUUGUGACACUGUCUCCGCAUACAACUGAGGUACCUCCGAAACUGAUCAAACUCCAGACAACCAAUUUUGUUGUUUAAAAACUGUGAUGCAGGAAACUGAAUAAUUCUUUUGCACUGGAGAAAAAGAAAAAAAAUUGAACUUAUGGUGAUGGGAUUAAUCAAGUGAAAAAUAAUUGGUUGUUUAA